UACGCAGCUAAUAUGGAACUUUCCCUCUGUUUUGCAAGGCGCUGUUUUUAUGAAGCCCUCCUACGUGGGACCAGAAGGAAGCUCCUUGAGGUGUGGGGUCAAUUGUUAAUCGUUUUUAUUGUCCCAGGGCCUACAACAGUGGCCGGCAUGUAGCGAGAGGGUGAUAAAUAUUUGCAGGCAGGUCUGAAUGGAACGGUUGUUGGCAAGGAAGCCGUGGGAAGGGAGGGUUUCAGGAAGGAGGAGUGGUCUGCGGUGGCAAAUAUUGAGAACAAUCAAGUAAGAUAAGGCCUGUAAAGGGCCAGUGCCAUUUGGCUCAGUGUAUCUGGUAAUUAGGGCAUUGGCGACCUUGGGGAGAAAUGUUUUCGUGGGGAAAUAGGGACAGAAAACAUCCGCCGUGGGACAGGUUGAGCUGCGUGGCAGUAUGACAUCCUGGCCGGUCUCCUGGGAAGGUGCUCAGCUGGUGCCGGCUGCCUGUCCUUCUGCUCACUCAGUGCUUCCUGAAACCAUCUGAACCUCAAAGGGCACCAGGCGGCGAGAGCCGGUGUCCCAUUGGUUGCCCACAUGGCUUCCUAAAAACAGAAGAAACGGCGGCCUUCUCACGCCGCGGGCUGGCUGUGGUGUGCGAGAAGCCCAGGCGGGGACAAGGGCAGAAGUUAGGCGUGUUUUACAGCACCAGAUAAUGAAUGAAGCCAGGGCAGGACUCCUUCCAGGCCCCAUAUGCAGAGAAGGAGGGAAGACCGGAUACUCACCCAUAUCAGCCUGCCGGACAUUUUUCAUCCGGAUGACCUUCACUGUCAGCAGGUGGCAUGGAGAGACCCCACCCUGUGGGUUGAGAGGACAGUGAACUCAUUCUUCAGAUGAUGACAACUGAUAGAGCAGCUCAAGCUGGACAGAGGCUCCCACUGCUCAGACCCAAGAUGCCUCCUCACAGUCAGUCCACAUUUCUGGGCUCUUGAGGACACUGCUGGUCCCCAAGACUGCUGAGGUGAGGGGCUUACUUCUCACCUCACUAGGAGCCAGCACACCUUGGAAAGGGAUGGCUUCAUGCCUGUUCUGUUCAUGUUUCUCCUGUUUGAAUCUCACGAUUUGAAGCCCCUUCCCUGAGAGUUUUAACCAGGCUUAGAGGAAUCUGUUUACCAUCCACUCCCAGCCUGUGCCCAUGGAAGAUGCAUGGAACUCCUCCAUCUGACCAAGUGACCCUAUUUAAAGAGACCUCUGAAGAACUUAUCAAACUCAACGCCCAAAAAACAAAUAAUCCAGUGAAGAAAUGGGCAAAAGACAUGAAUAGACACUUCUCCAAAGACGACAUCCAGAAGGCCAACU